rnacentral:rRNA from 1 species
AGAGUUUGAUCAUGGCUCAGAAUCAACGCUGGCGGCGCGCUUAACACAUGCAAGUCGAACGAGAAAGGGUCCUUCGGGAUCUGAGUACAGUGGCGCACGGGUGAGUAACACGUGGGUAAUUUGCCUUUUGGUGGGGAAUAACCCUGGGAAACCGGGGCUAAUACCGCAUAAGUCCGCGAGGAGAAAGUCGCAAGACGCCGAAAGAGAAGCCCGCGGCCGAUUAGUUAGUUGGUGGGGUAAUAGCCCACCAAGGCUAAGAUCGGUAGCCGGCCUGAGAGGGCACACGGCCACACUGGCACUGAGACACGGGCCAGACUCCUACGGGAGGCAGCAGUGGGGAAUCUUGCACAAUGGGGGAAACCCUGAUGCAGCGACGCCGCGUGAGCGAUGAAGCCCUUCGGGGUGUAAAGCUCUUUCAGUAGGGACGAUUAUGACGGUACCUGCAGAAGAAGCUGCGGCUAACUACGUGCCAGCAGCCGCGGUAAUACGUAGGCAGCAAGCGUUGUUCGGAGUUACUGGGCGUAAAGAGAGCGUAGGCGGUUCGCUAAGUUUGGUGUGAAAUCUCCCGGCUUAACUGGGAGGGUGCGCCGAAAACUGGCGGACUAGAGUGUGGGAGAGGGAAGCGGAAUUCCUGGUGUAGCGGUGAAAUGCGUAGAUAUCAGGAGGAACACCCGCGGUGAAGGCGGCUUCCUGGACCACUACUGACGCUGAGGCUCGAAAGCGUGGGGAGCAAACAGGAUUAGAUACCCUAGUAGUCC